rnacentral:rRNA from 1 species
GACGAACGCUGGCGGCGUGCUUAACACAUGCAAGUCGAACGGAAAGGCCCUGCUUUUGUGGGUUGCUCGAGUGGCGAACGGGUGAGUAACACGUGAGUAACCUGCCCUUGACUUUGGGAUAACUUCAGGAAACUGGGGCUAAUACCGGAUAGGAGCUCCUGCUGCAUGGUGGGGGUCGGAACGUUUCGGCGGUCGGGGAUGGACUCGCGGCUUAUCAGCUUGUUGGUGGGGUAGUGGCGUACCAAGGCUUUGACGGGUAGCCGGCCUGAGAGGGUGACCGGCCACAUUGGGACUGAGAUACGGCCCAGACUCCUACGGGAGGCAGCAGUGGGGAAUAUUGCACAAUGGGCGGAAGCCUGAUGCAGCAACGCCGCGUGCGGGAUGACGGCCUUCGGGUUGUAAACCGCUUUCGCCUGUGACGAAGCGUGAGUGACGGUAAUGGGUAAAGAAGCACCGGCUAACUACGUG